rnacentral:tRNA from 1 species
AGGGCGUAGCUCAGUGGCAGGGUGCUUGCCUGGAAUGUGCAAGGCCCUGGGUUCUAUCCCCAGCACCACUA